rnacentral:rRNA from 1 species
UACAGAGGGUGCAAGCGUUAUCGGAAUUACUGGGCGUAAAGAGCACGUAGGUGGAUACCUAAGUCGAAUGUGAAAUCCCUGGGCUUAACCUAGGAACUGCAUACGGUACUGGGUGUCUAGAGUAUAGUAGAGGGAAGUGGAAUUUCCGGAGUAGCGGUGAAAUGCGUAGAUAUCGGAAGGAACACCAGUGGCGAAGGCGGCUUCCUGGACUAAUACUGACACUGAGGUGCGAAAGCAUGGGGAGCAAACAGG